UACAGAGGUCUCAAGCGUUGUUCGGAUUCAUUGGGCGUAAAGGGUGCGUAGGCGGCAUGGUAAGUCGGAUGUGAAAUCUUGGGGCUCAACCCCAAAACUGCAUUCGAUACUGCCGUGCUUGAAGACUGAAGAGGAGAUUGGAAUUCACGGUGUAGCAGUGAAAUGCGUAGAUAUCGUGAGGAAGACCAGUGGCGAAGGCGAAUCUCUGGGCAGAUCUUGACGCUGAUGCACGAAGGCCAGGGGAGCAAACGGG
rnacentral:rRNA from 1 species